rnacentral:misc_RNA from 1 species
AACUUUUGGCAACGGAUCUCUUGGUUCUGGCAUCGAUGAAGAACGCAGCGAAAUGCGCUAAGUAAUGUGCAUUGCAGAAUUCAGUGAAUCAUCGAAUCUUUGACCGCACAUUGCGCCCCGUGGUAUUCCGCGGGGCAUGCCUGUUCGAGCGUCAUUUCAACCAAUCCAGCUUGCUGGGUCUUGGGUCGCGCCCCCGGGCGGGCCUUGAAAUCAGUGGCGGUGCCACCCGGCUCUACGCGUAGUAAUUCUUCUCGCGAUAGGGUCCCGGGUGGAGGCUUGCCAACAACCCCCAAUUCUUAAAGGUUGACCUCGGAUCAGGUAGGGAUACCCGCUGAACUUAAGCAUAUCAAUAAGCGGAGGCU